GAUGAACGCUGGCGGCGUGCUUAACACAUGCAAGUCGAACGGUGAAGCAGGAGCUUGCUCUUGUGGAUCAGUGGCGAACGGGUGAGCAACACGUGAGCAACCUGCCCCUGACUCUGGGAUAAGCGCUGGAAACGGCGUCUAAUACUGGAUAUGUGAUGUGACCGCAUGGUCUGCAUCUGGAAAGAAUUUCGGUUGGGGAUGGGCUCGCGGCCUAUCAGCUUGUUGGUGAGGUAAUGGCUCACCAAGGCGUCGACGGGUAGCCGGCCUGAGAGGGUGACCGGCCACACUGGGACUGAGACACGGCCCAGACUCCUACGGGAGGCAGCAGUGGGGAAUAUUGCACAAUGGGCGGAAGCCUGAUGCAGCAACGCCGCGUGAGGGAUGACGGCCUUCAGGUUGUAAACCUCUUUUAGCAGGGAAGAAGCGAAAGUGACGGUACCUGCAGAAAAAGCACCGGCUAACUACGUGCCAGCAGCCGCCGUAA
rnacentral:rRNA from 1 species